rnacentral:rRNA from 1 species
UACGGGGGGAGCAAGCGUUGUUCGGAUUUACUGGGCGUAAAGGGCGCGUAGGCGGUCAGCACAAGUCAGUUGUGAAAUCUCCGGGCUUAACUCGGAAAGGUCAACUGAUACUGUGCGACUAGAGUGCAGAAGGGGCAACUGGAAUUCUCGGUGUAGCGGUGAAAUGCGUAGAUAUCAAGUGGAACACCAGUGGCGAAGGCGAAUCCCUGGAAAAUACCUGACACUGAGGCACGAAAGCUAGGGGAGCAAACAGG